rnacentral:rRNA from 1 species
CCUACGGGAGGCAGCAGUGAGGAAUAUUGGUCAAUGGCCGGAAGGCUGAACCAGCCAUGCCGCGUGAAGGUCAGUGCCCUAUGGGCGUUAAACUUCUUUUGUGCGGGAGCAAUAAUGGUCACGUGUGGCCAGACGAGAGUACCGUACGAAUAAGCAUCGGCUAACUCCGUGCCAGCAGCCGCGGUAAUACGGGGGAUGCAAGUGUUAUCCGGAUUUAUUGGGUUUUAAGGGUGCGUAGGCUGUGAGGUAAGUCAGCGGUGAAAUGCCACGGCUCAACGGGGUGAAGUGCGAUUGAUACUGGCUGGCUGGAAUGCGGAUGCGGUGGGAGGAAUGUGUGGUGUAGCGGUGAAAUGCAUAGAUAUCACACAGAACACCGAUUGCGAAGGCAUCUCACGAAUCCGCGAUUGACGCUGAUGCACGAAAGCGUGGGUAUCAAACAGGAUUAGAUACCCCUGUAGUC